rnacentral:rRNA from 1 species
CCUACGGGGGGCUGCAGUGGGGAAUAUUGCACAAUGGGCGAAAGCCUGAUCCAGCCAUGCCGCGUGUGUGAAGAAGGCCUUCGGGUUGUAAAGCACUUUCAGUGGGGAAGAAAGCCUUGGGGCUAAUACCCUCGAGGAAGGACAUCACCCACAGAAGAAGCACCGGCUAACUCCGUGCCAGCAGCCGCGGUAAUACGGAGGGUGCGAGCGUUAAUCGGAAUUACUGGGCGUAAAGCGCGCGUAGGCGGUCUGAUAAGCCGGUUGUGAAAGCCCCGGGCUCAACCUGGGAACGGCAUCCGGAACUGUCAGGCUAGAGUGCAGGAGAGGAAGGUAGAAUUCCCGGUGUAGCGGUGAAAUGCGUAGAGAUCGGGAGGAAUACCAGUGGCGAAGGCGGCCUUCUGGACUGACACUGACGCUGAGGUGCGAAAGCGUGGGUAGCAAACAGGAUUAGAUACCCCUGUAGUC